AUGCCACUAAAGAUGGACUCUUCUCCAGGCCUCGUGACUGCGAUACUCCUCAUACUUGCAAGGACCCAUGGAGACUCAGUGAUGCAGACAUACGGUAAAUUGACUCUCUCAGAAAAGGACUUUCUUACUAUAUACUGCAACUAUUCAGCCUCGGGCUACCCAACCCUGUUCUGGUACGUGCAGUAUCCCGGAGAAGGUCCACAGCUCCUCUUCAGAGUCUCAAAGGCCGAUGAGACAGGAAGCAGCAGAGGUUUUGAAGCUACAUAUGACAAAGGAUCCACUUCCUUCCACUUGCAGAAAGCCUCGGUCCAGGAGUCAGACUCGGCUGUGUACUACUGUGCUCUGAGUGACACAGUGGCAGAAACCACAAGGGGGCCGAACACAAACUCAGCACCAGGGGCCUGGCUGCUGAGCUCCUGCCUCUGUGAUUGUUUUGGUUCCUGUGCUGUGUGCCUCUCCAUUUCACUUGGCACAAAAGUCAAACAAACAGCCACAGCUGAAGAACAAGAAGCAGAGUCUUCCAUCCUCUGCUCUUGA